GUGAAUCAUCAAAUUUUUGAACGCAAAUUGCACUCUCUUCGGAGAGUAUGCCUGUUUGAGGGUCAGCCUAUAAAAAAUCGACAUAGUUGCUGUUUCGCGGCGACAUUCGUCGGAAAUUGGGUUAUCUUAAAUCUUUUGGUUUUUAGCGGCUUAUAAUUUUCUUUAUGUUUUUACGUACGUUUUUCUGAUUUUACUUCUUUUACACGUUUAAGGUAUCGAUCUUUAUUAGACGUGGCCGUUGUAUCGGAUCGCGUCCAUAAAUAUUUCGUUAAUUGACCUCAUACAGGUAAGAAAAC
rnacentral:misc_RNA from 1 species